AAUCUCAAAAACCGGUACCCAGUUCGGACUGCAGGCUGCAACUCGCCUACACGAAGUCGGAAUCGCUAGUAAUCGCGGAUCAGCAUGCCGCGGUGAAUACGUUCCCGGGCCUUGUACACACCGCCCGUCACACCAUGGGAGUUUGUAACGCCCAAAGUCGGUGGCCUAACCUUUAUGGAGGGAGCCGCCUAAGGCGGGACAGAUGACUGGGGUGAAGUCGUAACAAGGUAGC
rnacentral:rRNA from 1 species